AUUGAACGCUGGCGGCAUGCCUUACACAUGCAAGUCGAACGGCAGCACGGGGGGCAACCCUGGUGGCGAGUGGCGAACGGGUGAGUAAUGCAUCGGAACGUGCCCAGUAGUGGGGGAUAACCCGGCGAAAGCCGGGCUAAUACCGCAUACGACCCAAGGGUGAAAGCGGGGGACCGUAAGGCCUCGCGCUAUUGGAGCGGCCGAUGUAUGAUUAGCUAGGUGGCGGGGUAAGAGCCCACCAAGGCGACGAUCAGUAGCUGGUCUGAGAGGACGACCAGCCACAAUGGGACUGAGACACGGCCCAGAGUCCUACGGGAGGCAGCAGUGGGGAAUGUUGGACAAUGGGCGCAAGCCUGAUCCAGCCAUGCCGCGUGCGGGAAGAAGGCCUUCGGGUUGUAAACCGCUUUUGGCAGGAACGAAACGGCGCAAGCCAAUACCUUGCGCUAAUGACGGUACCUGCAGAAUAAGCACCGGCUAACUACGUGCCAGCCGCCGCCGUAAGAC
rnacentral:rRNA from 1 species